rnacentral:rRNA from 1 species
GAAAAGGGAAGGAUCCUGGUUCAGAACGAACGCUGGCGGGGGACAAAAGCAUGCAAGUCGCACGAGAAAGCCCCUGCUUGCAGGGGCGAGUAAAGUGGCGCACGAGUGAGUAACCUUGUGGUUAAUCUACCCUUGGGUUUGGGAUAACGUCCCGAAAGGGGCGCUAAUACCGGAUAAGACCACGGUGUCCACGGGCACUGGGGUAAAAGUGGGCCUCUACAUGUGAGCUCAUGCCUGAGGAUGAGACCGCGUCCCAUUAGCUUGUUGGUGAGGUAACGGCUCACCAAGGCCGCGAUGGGUAGCUGAUCUGAGAGGAUGAUCAGCCACACUGGGACUGGAUUUUUUUCUCCCAAACCUACGGGAGGCAGCAGUGAGGAAUCUUGCGCAAUUGGGGAAACCCUGACGCAGCCACGCCGCGUGGGUGAAGAAGGCCUUCGGGUUGUAAAGCCCUGUCAGGUGGGAAGAACCGCAGUCUGGCCAAUACCUGGACUGCUUGACCGAACCACCAACGGAAGCACCGGCUUAACUCCGUGCC